rnacentral:rRNA from 1 species
GUACACUCCUACGGGAGGCAGCAGUGGGGAAUUUUAGACAAUGGGCGAAAGCCUGAUCCAGCAAUGCCGCGUGAGUGAAGAAGGCCUUCGGGUUGUAAAGCUCUUUUGUCAGGGAAGAAACGGUGAAAGCUAAUAUCUUUUGCUAAUGACGGUACCUGAAGAAUAAGCACCGGCUAACUACGUGCCAGCAGCCGCGGUAAUACGUAGGGUGCAAGCGUUAAUCGGAAUUACUGGGCGUAAAGCGUGCGCAGGCGGUUUUGUAAGUCUGAUGUGAAAUCCCCGGGCUCAACCUGGGAAUUGCAUUGGAGACUGCAAGGCUAGAAUCUGGCAGAGGGGGGUAGAAUUCCACGUGUAGCAGUGAAAUGCGUAGAUAUGUGGAGGAACACCGAUGGCGAAGGCAGCCCCCUGGGUCAAGAUUGACGCUCAUGCACGAAAGCGUGGGGAGCAAACAGGAUUAGAAACCCCUGUAGUCCCAUGA